rnacentral:rRNA from 1 species
CCUACGGGAGGCAGCAGUGAAGAAUAUUGGUCAAUGGACGAGAGUCUGAACCAGCCAAGUAGCGUGAAGGAUGACUGCCCUAUGGGUUGUAAACUUCUUUUAUAUGGGAAUAAAACGUUCCACGUGUGGGAUUUUGUAUGUACCAUAUGAAUAAGGAUCGGCUAACUCCGUGCCAGCAGCCGCGGUAAUACGGAGGAUCCGAGCGUUAUCCGGAUUUAUUGGGUUUAAAGGGAGCGUAGGUGGAUUGUUAAGUCAGUUGUGAAAGUUUGCGGCUCAACCGUAAAAUUGCAGUUGAAACUGGCAGUCUUGAGUACAGUAGAGGUGGGCGGAAUUCGUGGUGUAGCGGUGAAAUGCUUAGAUAUCACGAAGAACUCCGAUUGCGAAGGCAGUUCACUGGACUGCAACUGACACUGAGGCUCGAAAGUGUGGGUAUCAAACAGGAUUAGAUACCCGAGUAGUC